GACGAACGCUGGCGGCGUGCUUAACACAUGCAAGUCGAACGGAAAGGCCCUGCUUUUGUGGGGUGCUCGAGUGGCGAACGGGUGAGUAACACGUGAGUAACCUGCCCUUGACUUUGGGAUAACUUCAGGAAACUGGGGCUAAUACCGGAUAGGAGCUCCUGCUGCAUGGUGGGGGUUGGAAAGUUUCGGCGGUUGGGGAUGGACUCGCGGCUUAUCAGCUUGUUGGUGGGGUAGUGGCUUACCAAGGCUUUGACGGGUAGCCGGCCUGAGAGGGUGACCGGCAACAUUGGGAAUGAGAUACGGCCCAGACUCCUACGGGAGGCAGCAGUGGGGAAUAUUGCACAAUGGGCGGAAGCCUGAUGCAGCAACGCCGCGUGCGGGAUGACGGCCUUCGGGUUGUAAACCGCUUUCGCCUGUGACGAAGCGUGAGUGACGGUAAUGGGUAAAGAAGCACCGGCUAACUACGUG
rnacentral:rRNA from 1 species